CAUUACACCCAAAUCAUCUAGAAUUAUUAUCAUAGAAAAUUAUAUUUACCUCAUACUAGAUAGAGCAUUAGUCUUCAGACCUGAAUUACAAUGUUGUUAUUUUCGCAUGUGCUUGUGACUCUUUGUUUUUAUAUGUUUUAUUUUUGGUAAUUGUUUGGCACAUAAAAUUAAAAGUUGAGCAUGUCGGUAUAAUAAAUGUUUCCUUGGUUGGCAUGGGCGUUGGUUUGGCAACACUUGCUGCAUGCCAAAUGGCAACCCUGACGGGGAAAUGUCAUAUUUGGAAGUGCGAUUCAGUCGACGACUGAAUCUGAAUGGGAAUGCGGCGAAUGGGAAUGGCGAAUUGAAAUUGAAAUCGAAAUCAAAAUUGGAAGAUUUCUGGCCACUGAUAAAAGGAAUCUGCUGUGUCAGAGAACGUGUGUGAUAUCAAGGAGAUGGCAAACAGCAACAAGCACAGCAGGCGAUAGAUAAUGCCACUGAUUCUUCAACUAGAUGAUACCCUAUAUAUAUGACUUUACUCUUCCAUUAGCUCAACAUUUUUAGAAGUUGUAGAGGUAUGGAAUUUGUCUAUUUUGAAACAUUCAUUAUUAUGCUGCACGAAUAAAUAAAUAUUUUGGUACUUGAA